GCCACCUUAGCUCAGCGGUAGAGCAACGGUUUCGUAAACCGUAGGUCUCGGGUUCAAAUCCCGAAGGUGGCUCAA
rnacentral:tRNA from 1 species